ACGCGCGUACGCGUCUCGAGCUAUCGAUUGCGCUCGCAGUCGCGCGUCCGCCGCCGUACCUCGCGGUGUGUAUUUUGCGGCGCGUCGUGGCGCGCCAGUGUGCGCUGGUGCGCGUGUGUGUACGUUGUUUCCUUCUCUUUCUCGCCUUCGCGGGAGGAGAUCCGUGUGGCCCUUUCGAACGUGGCGGUUUCGUGCUCCAACUUGGAGAAGGUCAUCGAGCUCUCGCAGGUGGCACGGAGAGUAAAACAAAAAUAAAAGUAGCGGAGUAAGAAGAAGACGAGCCGUCAUCGUCGUCGCCGACGCGCGACGACGAGGACGAAGAGGACGACGGCGACGGCGGUGAGGACUACGCGGGGACCAUCGCGACGACCGUGGGAAAACUCGAAGAUGUUCCCACGCUGCCGCUGCGCUGUGAGUGUGUGCCGCGCGUGCGUGUGAAAUUCCACUGGGAGGACGGGAGAGUGGGCGGGAGUGCGGGAGAGUGAGGGGGUGUGAGAGAGGGAGGACAAACGGGAAAGCGGGAGGAAGAGAGAGAAAGAUGAGCGCCCAGGGGCAGGAGCACGGACACGCGGUGGUUGUGUGGGAGUGGGAGAACCGUCACGGACGGUGGAGGCCCUACAGCCCGGCCGUGUCACAGCAUCUUGAACGGGCCCAUUGCAAGAAGCUCACCCGGGUGUUCCUGAACGACGCGGAUCCUACGCUUGACAGGUACUACAUCAACUUAAAGACCAAGACGCAAUGCAGCGAAGACGGCGACGAGACGUACAACGUGAGGAGGAAAUUCUACCUGCCGGGCUCGCCGGCUGGCAAAGGCGCCAAGUGGGAAUGGGCGGGUGAUUCGGAUGACUGGCACACUUACGACAUGGAGGUGCAAUGCCUCAUAGAGGAGGCGUGGGCGAGAGGCGACAAGACCAUCGACGUAUCCAAGACGUACCUGGGCUUCCCGUACAUCAUCAACUUCUGCAACUUGACGCAGGUGAGAUGCUGCACAGGCUACGUGAGGCCGAUACGACGCAUCCAGCAGGCGCCGUAUCCGCUGGUGAAGGUCGCGCUGGAGGAGCUUCAGAUCACUUCCGGUAGAAGGUCCGCGACGGUCACGGUCAAGAGUUCCACCGUCAAAGUCGCGCAUAAGAAAUCGUCGAAUGGUAGCGCGAAGAAGAGCAACAAGAAAGGGAAAAGCGGGGACGCGAACACGAACGGGCCGACGAACAUCGCGCGCGUCAUUCUCAGCAACUUCAACAUAUUCAGCAGCAAGCACGGCAUCGAGAACAACCCCGUGGCGACGAACGUCGAGUCCGGCCAGAAGAGGAAGACCUGGGACGUGGUGCUCGACGCGGACUCCAGCAGCACCAAGAGCGGCCGCAGACCUAGCGUAGACACCGUGUCCACCUAUCUGAGCCACGAGAACCCGGUGGACCUGCUGGAUAGCAGCGUGGGCAGCGACGACGCCUUCAAGGACUCCAUUCUCGGAGUGGACGCUGCGUCGGACGUGAUAUCCCAAUACGUGAAGGUGGUCGAGAGCGACGGGUCGGACUCGUGUCCGGUCUGCCUGGGUACUCCGGAGCCAUUGACGGUCGAACUGACGCGAUGCAGGCACAGAUUGCACCUGGCGUGCCUGAACGCGAUGCUCAGCUGCCAGCAGCCGCCCAUGUACAUACAGUGCCCGGUUUGCCGUAUGAUCUACGGUGAGAAACGGGGCAACCAACCGCCCGGGACAAUGAACUGGACGCGGAUACCACGUGCGCUGCCGGGUUUCCCGAACACCAACACUAUACAAAUCACCUACGACAUCCCGUCCGGGAUUCAAGGUAGCGAGCACCCGAAUCCCGGCCAGACGUACUACGCUGUGGGCUUCCCACGAGUUUGUUACCUGCCAGACAACAAUCUCGGCCGCCGUGUGCUGAGACUGCUGCAGAUCGCGUUCGAGCGCCGGCUCAUCUUCACGAUCGGCCGAUCGGUCACCACCGGCCGCGAGGACGUCGUCACGUGGAACGAGAUCCACCACAAGACCGAGCUUGGUCCGUCCACGUCCGGCCACGGAUAUCCCGAUCAGAGUUACCUCGAAAGGACGCUCGCGGAAUUGGCGGCGCAGGGUGUGACCGACGGGCACUCGCCGCCGACGUAUCAACAGUUGCAUUGACAAGCGAACGGUGUGUUCGCACAAAAACUGAGAAUCCACCGUUUCUGGCGUAGGAAUGAAGAAUUGGCUAAAGUAACUGCAACUGGAAAAACUGUCGGAUUGUUUUGUGAGUCAUUGAAUCAGUGUUUUUUUUUUUAACUUUGUCGCCUGUGCCUACGAGAUAACGGACUUUGUCGUAGCUGAGAUUCAUCACACCAGCGCUUGGAAAAAAUCCUAAUUGUACCUGAGACCCUGACAGUGCCAGUCAAGCUCUCAGCGUCGGCUAUCAGAGUAGCCUUGCAACUACAAGCGGACUUAACGUUAAGGUUCUUGUCAAUAUAAACUUAUAUCGUAGAUGAAAACUAGCGAAUUACACAAAUUAGAGAAGUAGAUUUCGAAAUUUUUACUCCAUGUUUAUUCCAUGCUAACGCGUAAGCAAGGAACUGAUAAAUGAUAUUUUGACUAAGGUAGAGAAACAAUUUUAGAUAUUUAUAUAUAUAUAUUUUUUCUAUGCUAGCAUAAGAGUAUCUUAUGGCAAUUUUAUAAAAAUGGGAGAAAUUUUCGGGCGAAAUUAUAAGCAAAAGUAUAAAAUUUUUAUUUUAGAGAUAUAUUUUAUGUAGAGAUCUUAAUUUUAUGUAGUUUUAUAUAUAUAUAUAUAUAUAUAUAUAUAUAUAUAAAUAUAUGUAUACUAUGUAUCUUCCAAGAAACUUGCCAAGAAAGAAACACAUGAUUUAUCGCGGAAUUAUAAUUUUAUGUUAUAUGUAGUUUAAACGAUGACGCAGGAAAAGGUGAUUACUAUGCAAUAGUAAAACGAUAGUAUUGUAUUUACUUAGGUUGUAAUAAUUUGAAAUACGAUUUAAUCAUCGAGUAAAAUAAUUUAUUGUUAUAAUUCCAAAUUCUAUAAUGUCUCGGAAAAAUCGAGUGCCGUCAUUAUGUCAUUGCACAUUCCAAAUUAUAUGUAUAAUUUUUAGACGAAAUAACAAAAAAGAAAAAAACUGCAUUGUA
rnacentral:misc_RNA from 1 species